ACCCUCUAAGGAUCACAUCUGGAGAGUUUCCAAUACUCUACCGGUCUUGACUAGGGGAGGGAGAGUCAAGCAGAAGCAUACCCAUUCAAUUCCUAAUUUGGGCAGUGGCUAGUGUGUGGAAGGCAAUCUGCUACAGCU